AGCUUUGCAAAGUGGCAGUAUCGUAGCCAAUGAGGUUUAUCCAAGGUGUGAUUAUUGCUAACUGAAAACUUUUCCCAUUUUUUGUUUGUUUUAAAGUAAUUUCCUUGGGGAACAGGACACUUUACUUCUACCAAUGUAG